rnacentral:lncRNA from 1 species
GCUAUUUAUCGAUUGAUUUAUUUCAAAAAGACAUAAUUCUGCAAAAUAAGAAAGUCUAGCAAAUGACAAAGAUCCCAUAAAAUGAAAUGUAAAUUAAUAGUGAAAUACAUUUAUUCCAAGUCAAAGAUGCAACAUGUAGUCAAACAAUAUAAGCAAUUGGUACAGUGCAUUGCACUUGGUAGAGUCGUAAUUGAAUAUUUAGUAUUGUAGAAUAAAUAUAAGUAUGUUUUAAAUCAGCUUCUACGAAAGAGUAAACUAAUACUUAAAGUAAAAAGCAAGUAGACUCUCAUUUCCUAAAUAUAUUUCAAAUAAAUAUUAUUUACUAAUUUUUAUCUAAUAUUAAUUGGAUUUUAUUUGGCCUUGUAUCUGAGAAUAAAAGGAACAUGAAAACAUAGGUCUCACUUGGCAUAGGAAACUAUAAAACAUGUACAUUGUGCAGUAUUAAACCAUCACCAUGGUAUAGUUUUCCCUAAAUACCGUGAGAAAACCUUGAAGCCACCGGUACACCCUUGCUGUUAUCCAUGUUCCAACAAGCAAAUAAUUAUUCAAAACAUUGUAAAAUUUACCUGUUUUAGAGAGUUGCAAUCUGUAAUCCGAUUUGCUUCAGAAGAAUCAAAGACCCCUCUUGUAAGAGACUGGAGACAAUCUAUGUUACCAGCUACAGCAUUGAUUUCAACCAUUUACAUCUCAUUAAAGCCAUUUUCUACUAAAAAUGCCUCCUCUAUAGCAGAAGGAAGAUCAUUAGGUUGGCUAUCAUUCAAUUCAGUUGGCCUCUGAAACCUAAACCAACAAAGUCUCGCUGCGAUCCCCGACUUCAACAAAAACCUCAAAAAUAAGUGAAGGAAAAAUAUAUAUAACCCAGCCAUUACACACCUGUCUACAUAAUUCACAAAUGGAAAUAUCAUCCCGCAUUGAAUCCAUCAUAAUCAUGCUCAUCAAGAUACCAAAAAAUUUCAAAAAAUAAAUUUACUACCACAACUACUUUCUUUACACAUAUCGAGCACAACAUCCGUCAACCGCACAAAUUACAGUUAACAAAGAAACUGGAGAUUGAAAAUGGUAUAUAUUACCCUUCAUGUCCCAUUUCUUGAGUAUCCAAAGAACAUUGUGCAAACUGCAUCAGCAACCCAAAAAUUCAAAACUUGUUGGAGAACUUGCAACUCUUGAUCAAGCACAAUAUUGGCUGAUGUAGAAAGUUUGGUUAUGCUCGAACACUUAAUCCCGAGGACUUCUCUCAGAAACUUGCGAUUCCACAUCUGUAGUGCUCAAGCAUUAUUUCUCGGGAUAAAAUGCUCGAGCACUGCUAGCCUUGUUGUAUCCUCAUUUUCAUGAUCCUAUCCUCGAGCAAGAACGGUCUUCGAGAUAUAUUCUCCUCGCAACCUACGAUUGUUAUUACUAAUCCCAAUAAGACUCCUAUAUGAUUGGGACUCUAACUUUACCAUAUUACUUCAAUAUUUGACUCCUGCAAGAAUUCUAUCCCAAAUAUAAUUAUGGCAUUGGUCUAACCCCUUUAACUAACAGGACUCCAUUGGAUAAAUACAUCUAAUUGGCACAAUCCUACUAAGAGUACACUCUCUACCUCUAUAAAUUCCAACCUUGGACAUUAUUCAGCCACAUUUUCAUCAUUUCUAGUUUAUAGCCUCACGCACAUAAUUCCCUUUUUGACUUCAGCAUCGGAAGGACGAUGAGAACAUACCUCGUUGCCUUUGUUUCAAGUACCAAAAGACCACGAUCAUGCUCAUUCAAAGCCUCAAGCUCAGGAAAUCAACAUGUACGAUUUUUGGUAGCAUCAUUGGCCCUGUCUAUGGGAACGCUACCAAAACUCAUGGUUAACACGCGAUCAGGUCUUCCUCUCGCAAGCGCAUCCGCUCUCAUCCCUCAUCCUGCUAAAGAUCAACCGGCUCCUCAAGAAGAGUCGUCAGGACUGCCCGCACCCCAGCCGGUGAUCGUCACAAUUGAAGCCUUCGAAGAGCUCCGUCAGUAGGUGUCCACGCUAAUGCAGCUGUUAAGUCAAAAAAAUUCGCAUCUGUCACCGGUGCAAGUAGAGCAUCGUGGUUUUAUGAUCGAUGCUCGAGCCCGAGCACCAAACCUCGCAACUGGUGGAGUAGGGACCUCGAGUAUUCGCAACAUGGCCUCGGGCUCAAGAUUGAUUGCUAUGGAUUCUGGAGAGAUUUCCUGAAUCAUUCAAGAAAGAAUCACAACCGGCCUGCAAUAGAAUGCUCAGGGCCAACGGGUUUUACCCCUAACACCUCAUUCACGCCGAAUAUAUUGUCAUAUCCUUUGCCUGACAGUUUCAAAUAUCCUCGCAUUAAAGAGUAUGAUGGGACGACAGACCCAAUCAACCAUCUCAAUGUAUAUAUCGAUGUCAUGAACUUGCAAGUGGCACCAAAUCAAGUUAUGUGCAAAGCUUUCCCGCAAAUGCUGACUAAUGCUGCUAGGGAUUAGUUCUCGACGUUGGAGCCCAACUUCAUAGCCUCAUUCUCAGAUUUGACUGAUAAGUUCUCAGCCUUCUUUGCAAGUAGCAAGGGAAUCAGAAAGAUUGUAGCCUCUCUUAUGCAACUUCACUAGGGACCAAAUGGUGAGGAUUUAUAACGAGGUUUAAUAAGGAAAGACUUCAGAUACCUGACCUUCACAUUACGGAAGCUAUCUCCGCCCUCACAUACGCCAUAAGACGUGAAGCCUUCAAGAUGUCCUUAUCAAAGACCCCAUCAUAAACAGUGACCGAGCUCCUCACCCGAGCUGAAAAAUACAUAAAUAUGGAGGAAACACUGAAUCCAAGGACAUCUGGUCCUUCCCAUGAAAAGGUCAAUAACAAGAAGCAACAUGAUCCCAUUUCCCAGCCAGAGCAUCCUCGGGACAAGCGCAAGAAUGAAGGGCCACCAAGGCCUCUCACCCGGUUGAACACCUCCAAGGCAAAUAUCCUAAUGGAGAUCAAAGAUAUGAAAAAGUUGAAGUGGCCUUCAAGAAUGAAGUUGUUCCCUGACACAAGAGAUGGAAGUAAGUAUUAUGAAUUUCACCGAGAUCAUGGGUAUACCACAGAAGAUUGUCAAGCCUUGCAACGGAAAAUUGAAGCCCUCUUUUAUGAUAUGAAAGAGUUGAAGUGUCCCUCAAGAAUGAAGUCGUUUCCUGACACAAGAGAUAGGAGCAAGUAUUAUGAAUUUUACCGAGAUCAUGGGCAUACCACGGAAGAUUGUCAAGCCUUGCAGCGGGAAAUUGAACCCCUCAUUAAAAGAGGGCUCUUAAGGAAUUACAUUGGUCAUGAUAAACGCCCGAGGAAUGACUGUGACAAUCGGAAAGAGUCUGGAGUCAGAAGCAGUGCUCAACCCACUGACGGGACCAUUAAUAUUAUCCUUGAAGGUACAGCAUCUGGAGGAGACACAAGUAGUGGGCGAAAGCAAUAUGCCUGCCAACAUGCUCAUGCCUCAAAGGAAUCCCAUGAUAAAGUCAAAGACAUUAUUUUUGAAGCAAUAGAUUUGGAAGGAGUAUCAUAUCCUCAUGAUGAUGCCUUGGUCGUCUUUGCAAUUAUGGCUAACUUUGAAGUAAAGAGGACUCUGUUUGACAAUGAGAGUGCAGCAAAUAUACUCUCAUAGGAGGCUUUCACUAAAAUGGGGAUCUCUCCUAAAUAGCUCAAAGCAGUAAAAACUCCUCUACAGGGAUUUGGUGGUGGAGUUAUCAUCCCGUAAGGCAUUGUCGAGCUUCCAUUGACAUUGGAUCUGAUAAUGCACAAGUGACAAAAAUCACGCCUUUCCAAGUGGUUAACACUCAUAUGGCUUACAACAUCAUCCUGGGAAGACCCCUACUGAACAAGAUCCAAGCCAUUGAAUCAACUUUCCACCUAGCCAUGAAGUUCCCAAUAGGUCACGGCAUCGGAGUAGUUUGAGGAGACCAAACAGCUGCCAGACAAUGCUAUGUUACUAGCAUUCGAGGAAUGAGUACAAAAGUUAUGCAACUUUCAGACCUCGAGCUCGAGCUAAGGGGUAGACUUUCCCCGAUUGAGGAAUUGGAAGUGAUCGAGCUCGAGCAUGGAAAACUGGUAACAAUCGGUCUGGAUCUCAAGGCCAGCCUCCAGGAAGAAGUCAUCAGUUGCCUGUCCCACAACAUUGAUGUUUUGGCAUGGAAGGUCGAAGAAAAUGCCAGGGAUAGACCUUGAAGUAGUAGUCCAUAGACUCAACAUAAGCUUAGGGACCAAACCUGUUAAGUAAAGGAAGAUACAGUUUGUGCCAGAAAGAUGUGUGGUCAUUCAGGAAGAGGUCGGCAAACUAGUGAGAGCGGGGUUCAUAAGGGAAGUCCAAUACCCCGAUUGGCUCGCUAAUAUUGUUCUUGUGAAGAAGGCUAGUGGUAAAUGGAGGGUCUACAUCGACUUUACAGAUCUCAAUAAGGCGUACCCUAAAGACAGCUACCCACUCCCCAGGAUUGACAAUCUUGUGGAUAGCACAUCCGGACAUAAAUUGUACAACUUCUUAGAUGCAUUCUUAGGGUAUCAUCAAAUCCUUAUGACCAAGGAAGACCAAGAGAAGACUUCAUUCAUGGUUAAUUCUGUCAUAUACUGCUAUAGGGUGAUGCCAUUUGGGUUGAAAAAUGUUGUGGCAACAUAUCAGAGGCUCAUCAACAAAGUCUUCGCUGAUUUGAUAGGGAAGAACAUCGAGGCCUAUAUUGACGACAUGGUGGUAAAGAGUAAGAAGGUAGAACAGCAUAUAUGUGACCUUGAGGAGGUGUUUUCUACCCAAUGAAAAUAUCGGAUGAAACUCAACCCAGAGAAGUAUGUGUUCGGUGUAGCUUCGGGAAAAUUUUUGGGCUUCAUGAUCACUCACUUGGGAUAGAAGCAAACCCCAAUAAGAUCCAGGCCUUGGCAGUAAUGGAAUCACCCAGGACUAAGAAAGAGGUCCAAAAACUGACACGUAGGGUAGUAGCACUAAACAGGUUCAUGUCCGGGUAGCAGACAGGCACUUCCCUUUCUUCAAAGUUCUUAGAGGCGAUCAAUCCUUUGAAUGGAAUGAGGAGUGUGAGAAGGCUUUUCAUGAGCUCAACCAAAUAUUGGCAUCUCCUCCUAUCCUCACUAAACCAGAGCCCAGUGAUACUUUGUUGUUGUACUUAGCCGUGCCUCAAACACAUUGAGCGGCGUUUGGGCGAAGGAGGUCAACAAAGCCCAGCAACUUAUUUAAUACAUAAGUAAAGUCCUACUUGAUGCGGAGACUAGGUACACUUUGGCCGAGCAGCUUGUCCUUGCCCUAAUAGUGGCAGCACGAAAGCUUCAACAAUAUUUUCAGUCUCAUCCCAUUGUGGUGCUCACAAAUCAAACUCUGAAACACAUCCUUCAAAAGCCAGACGUCUUAGGCAGGUUACUAAAGUGGGCAAUUGAACUUGGAGAGUUUGACAUAGAGUUCAAACCCCGUCCGUCCAUCAAAGCCCAAGCCUUAACGGAUUUCAUUGCAGAACUCACCCCAAGGUCUAGGGGGCCAGAUGAGAUCUCGAGCACUACAACAGAUGUUUGACAAAUUUUCGUGGAUAGAGCUUCAAACUCCUCGGACUUGGGUGCAGGGGUCAUCAUAACGGGCCCAGACAUGUUCAUGGGCAUUCAGUAUGCACUCAAGUUUGAAUUCGAGGUAACCAACAAUGAGAUGGAAUAUGAGGCUGCAUCAUAGCCAUGGAACUUGCCAUUAAUCUAGAACUUGAAAACAUCAAAAUUCUUAGUGAUUCCCAGCUGGUGGUUAGGCAGAUUGAAGGAACAUUCAAAAAGAAAGACAAAAAAAUGGGCUUAUAUUGCUUAAAAGUUCAUGAUCUCCGACGAAAAUUGAAGAGUUGUGAAAUUGUGAAGAUUGCCCGAGCUGAUAGCUGCAAGGCAGAUGCCUUAUCAGGGCUGGUGUUCAUGGGAGUAGAUGGACUUGACAGGGAAGUACAUGUCAGAUUUGUGACUGAGCCUAGCAUCAAUCCAACCAUUGAGGUCAUGGACAUUGAUCAUGAACCGUCAUGGAUGGACCCAAUUGUGGAUUUCAUAACAAAGGGCAAUCUUCUAGAUGAUCCUCGAGCCGCAAGGAACAUCCGGUCAAAAGCUACAAGGUAUUGCAUUAUUAAUGAGGUCUUAUUCCGCAGAAGCCUCACCUUUCCGUACCUUAGGUGCCUUAAUCCUUCAAAAUCCUCGCAAGCCCUAGAGGAAGUUCAUGAAUGAGUAUGCGGAAACCAUCAAGGAGUUCAAGAAUUAGUCUUUAAACUCAUAAGGUAUGUAUAUUACUGGCCUACCAUAAGGAAGGAUGCCGUAGAAUAUGUAAAGAAGUGUGACAAAUGCCAGAGGUUGGGCAAUAUUAUCCACUCUCCCGCAGAGGACCUCACGAACAUCAGUUGCUCGACCCUGAUUGAGCAAUGAGGGAUUGAUAUCCUUGGUCCGUUUUCGAUAACUAGGGGACAAUUGAAGUUUGUAGUUGUAGCAGUGGAGUACUUUACAAAGUGGGUGGAGGCCGAGCCCUUGGCAACGAUCUCAGAGCUUAAGAUAAGAGCUUUCGUUUGGAGGUCCAUCAUAUAAAGGUUCGAAAUACCGAAGGUCCUCAUGACUGAUAACGGCGGGUAGUUUAACAAUGCACAAUUCAAAUAUUUCUGUUCCAACUUAGGGAUUAAUCACCGCCUGACAUCAGUCUCCCAUCCCCAAAGUAAUGGUCUAGCCGAGGUCACUAAUCGGAUUAUAUUGCCAAACCUCCGAACAAGGAUUGGAGAUGCAAGAGUCGUUUGACGAGUUUCCUUCAAUAAUUUGGACAUAUAGAACAUCCCACAGGACCGCCACAGGGGAGACUCCCUUCAUGUUAGCUUUUGGAGUUGAGGCCACCAUUCCCAUUGAAAUCAGGUUAUUCAGCCAAAGAAGACUUGGUCCCGAAGAAGCAAGGUACACCACUGAACAUCUCGACCUCUUGGAAGAAGUUCGUGAUCAAGCAGCCUUAAGAAUGGCCUCUUACUAAGACAGGACAACAAAGUAUUUCAAUAAAAAGGUAAGGUCGCGAAGAUUCAAAGCUGGAGAUUUGGUGUUGAGAAAAGCAGAAAGCAGGUGGUUAUGCUCCGGGAAAACUCGGACCAAUUUGGGAAGGGCCCUUUGAAGUCAUACGAUAGCUCCCAUGAAGUGCAUAAAGUUUAAAAGAUACUUCAGAAAGAACACUCCCAAGACCAUGGAACACUAAAAACUUAAAGGUAUAUUACAAGUGACCCGCUCCGCCAUGUUUUAGAAAUAAGGCCUACGUGUCAAGUCAGUCUUUUAUCAUUAAUAAGGCCUACGUGCCAAGUUAAUUUUUUAUCAUUUGUCAGGCCUGCGUGCCAAGCCUAUUUUCAAA